AGAGUUUGAUCCUGGCUCAGGACGAACGCUGGCGGUGUGCUUCACACAUGCAAGUCGAACGGAGUAGCAAUACUCAGUGGCGGACGGGUGAGUAACACGUGGGAAUCUACCAUUAGGUGGGGAAUAACAGGCCGAAAGGACUGCUAAUGCCGCAUAUGUAGGCAUCUCGACAGAGAUGUUUAUGAAAGGAGUAAUCCGCCUUUUGAUGAGCCCGCGUCCGAUUAGCUAGUUGGUAGGGUAAAAGCCUACCAAGGCGACGAUCGGUAGGUGGUCUGAGAGGAUGAUCACCCACAAUGGGACUGAGACACGGCCCAUACUCCUACGGGAGGCAGCAGUGGGGAAUUUUACGCAAUGGGGGAAACCCUGACGUAGCGACACCGCGUGAGCGAAGAAGCCCUUUGGGGUGUAAAGCUCUGUCAACAGGAACGAAACAAAUGACGGUACCUGUGGAAGAAGCAUCGGCUAACUACGUGCCAGCAGCCGCGGUAAGACGUAGGAUGCAAGCGUUGUCCGGAUUUAUUGGGCGUAAAGAGUUCGUAGGCGGUUUGUUAAGUCUGAUGUUAAAGACCGGGGCUCAACCUCGGAAAUGCAUUGGAUACUGGCAGACUGGAGUGCAGUAGAGGCUAGUGGAAUUCCCAGUGUAGCGGUGAAAUGCGUAGA
rnacentral:rRNA from 1 species